AUAAUGAUACUUCUGUCAAGUCGAACUUGAGCGUUAAAAGCGUCGCACGUCAGAUGGCAGUCCGGACGUAUGUCGGGAAGGUGUAACUCCUAUGG
rnacentral:ncRNA from 1 species